rnacentral:snRNA from 1 species
AUGUGCAAAUAUUGCUCAGAUUC